rnacentral:lncRNA from 1 species
AUGACACAACAGGCGAUCUCCUUUGCCAAGGACCAUCUGGCUGGUGGCAUUGCUGCUGCUGUCGCCAAGAUAGUUGUGGCCCUGAUUGAGCAGGUGAAGCUGCUGUAGCAGAUGCAAGGCGCUAGGAAGCAGGUGACAGCUGACAGCAGUGCACAGGAAUUGUGGACUACUUUCUUAAGCAAGCCCUCAACAUCACAUUCAAGGAUAAGCAGACACAGCUAUUCCUGGGAGUAUGGAUGAACACACACAGUUCUAGAGCUGUUUUGCCCACAAUCUGGCCUCCAACAAGGCGGCCAGAGCCACCUGUCUCUGUUUUGUGUACUUGCUGGGUUUUGCCAGAACCCAUCUGGUGGUCAAUGUUGGGAAAUCGUACACAGAGCUGGGAUUCAGGUUCAAAGACCUAGGAGACUGUCUGGUGAAGAUAAGUAAGUCUGAUGGGAUCUGGGGCCUGUACCAGGGCUUCAGCAUCUCUGUGCAGGGCAUCAUCCUUUUCUGGGCAGCCUGAAGGCCUAAGGCAUGCUCCCUGACUCCAAGACCACCACAUCAUGGUGAGCCAGAUGAUUGCCCAGACUGUGGUGGUGCGGCCAACAUGACCUUCUACCCAUUGGGCCCUGUGCAGACCCAAAGGAGCCAACAUACUGCACAUGGGAACCCUCAAUUGCUGGAGGAAGAUUUUUAAGGAGGAAAAGGGAAAGCCUUCUUCAAGAGUGCAUGGUCUAAUGUUCUCAGAGAUAUGGGAGGAGCUUUUAGGCCUGUCCUGUAUGUGGAAUUGAAGAAG